CAAAAAACGUCAGCACGCCGAAUGAAACCUCAACAUGUAUGAAGCCUCAGCAGGGAUGGAACCUCUGAAGGCACAGGAAGCAGCCAGAGACACUGAAAUAAUGAUGGGAAUACAGCAGGAACACACAGUCCGAGAAGACAGGACAGACCUCACCUUGAAGCCCAUGUGGACCUCGUCUCACUCCUCCACCCACCAGACGCCCACCGACGACACCCGGACGGCUCAUCAGCCUGACAGGAUUAUCUAAAUCCACAGAGAUUUACAUCCAAAAAGAGGCCAGACUGUGGAAAGACGAACUCCUACUGUUCUGAGAUUCUUUACCUGCCGGACAUUUACAUCCAGAUACUUUCACAAAUGACUGAAGAAAAGCGACGCUCAGAAAGUUAGAUAUGUUAGAUAUGUUAGAAAAAGAAUAAAAUUUCAAGACAAAAGUGGCUCCAGAAGAAUAAAAAAUUGUGACAAACA